rnacentral:rRNA from 1 species
UAGGGAAUCUUCCACAAUGGACGCAAGUCUGAUGGAGCAACGCCGCGUGAGUGAAGAAGGUUUUCGGAUCGUAAAGCUCUGUUGUUGGUGAAGAAGGAUAGAGGUAGUAACUGGCCUUUAUUUGACGGUAAUCAACCAGAAAGUCACGGCUAACUACGUGCCAGCAGCCGCGGUAAUACGUGGGUGGCAAGCGUUGUCCGGAUUUAUUGGGCGUAAAGCGAGCGCAGGCGGAAGAAUAAGUCUGAUGUGAAAGCCCUCGGCUUAACCGAGGAACUGCAUCGGAAACUGUUUUUCUUGAGUGCAGAAGAGGAGAGUGGAAUUCCAUGUGUAGCGGUGGAAUGCGUAGAUAUAUGGAAGAACACCAGUGGCGAAGGCGACUCUCUGGUCUGCAACUGACGCUGAGGCUCGAAAGCAUGGGUAGCGAACAGG